GGUGAAGUGAUCGAUUUAGGGGAGUGGUACCUCAGAAAUUGAUGAAUGAAAGCAGAACUUUGAUAUUAAAAAUAUUGGUAAUUUCCAAUUUGGGAGGAUUGUCUUUCUUGGAUUUUUCGUUAAGCCAACUCUCAUCUUAUCAAGAGGCCUUACUCUUGUGGCAAUCAAUUUUCUGUGACUUAUCAAUUCCUUUGAAAUUGUGGCACCUUCUAUCCUGUCCCGUUGAUUCUCAUCAUUUAGUACUUAGAGCAAGGUAUUCUGAGUUCCUGAUUUUUCCUCACUGGUUGCAUCAAUCGGAUGCAAUUGUGCAAAAUUAGUUUCACACAUUCUAGAUAUGUGACUUUAUCGAUUCGUAGCAUAUUGAUCUAGAACAUUGUACAAUUCUUAUUGGUGUAAGUCAUCAAUGCAUUGGUUCCUUUAAUGCAAGUUGUGACCUCUUAUUGGUUUUCGCCAACAAAUUGAUAAUAGAUGUAGUUAUCAUGGGCUACUUGCGUCAAAAAUCAAACCUCGAUUAUGUGAUUUUCAUUCAGGUGCUGGUGAUGGUAACCCUCCUCUUAGGGGAGACUACAGGUUACUAAUUGAUGCAAUUACAACUCAAAUGGAAAGGAUGAUGAGGGAGCACACAGAGGAUUUAUAUAGGAGAAUUGAACAAUUAGAAAAUCAAGAGAACCGCAAUGAUGAUGGAGGUAGAAGGAGAAGGGUAAGAGAUAAUGGUGGUGGUGAUGCUAGAUAGGACAAAAUUAAAGGAGUGAAGUUGAACAUACCCCCUUUCCAAAGGAAAAGUGAUAUAGAAGCUUAUUUGGAGUAGGAGAUGAAGAUUAAGUAACUGUUUGCAUGUCACAACUAUACAAAAGAUAAGAAGAUGAAGGUGGAAGCCAUGGAGCUCACUGACUAUGCUCUCAUUUGGUGGGAUAAAUAACAAAAGGAAAGGGUGAGACUUGGAGAACCUUAGUGAAUAGUUGAGAUGAGAUGAAGAGAUUAAUGAGAAGAAGACAUGUUCCUUUUCAUUAUCAUAGAGACCUUCACAACAAGCUUCAAAGACUUACACAAGGAAAUAAGAGUAUAGAUGAGUAUUACAAAGAGAUGGAGGUGUCCUUGAUUAGAGUCAAUCCUAAUGAAGACUAGGAGAAAAAGUGUCAUGAGAAGAAGCUCCUCUAACUUUCAUUCUUCAAGUUGCAAGGAUAGAAAUAAGAAGGAGGGGGUACUUCUUCAAGUAAUUACAAUGUUGCACCUCAAAGCACUCAAAAAUUCAAUGAGUCACUUAAAAGACAAGGAGUGGUGAAAUAAAAUGCUUUAAGUGUUUGGGGAGAGGUCACUUAGCUUCUCAAUAUCUAACUAAAAAGACUAUGUUACUUAAGGAGGAUGGAGAGAUUAUGAGUGAUUUUUCUUCAGAUUUUGUACCAUCUAGUGAUGAAGAAGAGCAUGAAGAGGAAAAAGAAGCAGAAGGAGAUUUGUUCAUGGUUAGAAGGAUGUUGGGCAGUCAAGCGGUGGAAUUGGAUGAGUGUCAAAGAGAAAAUAUUUUCCACACAAGGUGUAUUAUUUCAAGGAAGUGGUGUGUCUCCAUGGACUACCAAGAAGCAUUGCUUCCUAAUCAAGACACCAAGUUACUUAGUCACUUUUGAAGAACUUUAUGAGGUGCAGAUGGAUUCAAUUCGAGGUCAAAUUCACUCAGAGAAGAAGGGGAUAAUGAGGACAACGUCAAGAGCAUGGACCUUGAAGCAGAGCAUGGAUUUGAUGGACCAAUCACAAGAGCACGUGCUAAGGAAAUGGUGAAUGAAGCCCAAUUUAAAAUGGAAAAUGUGAAGCCCCAACCCAAAUUGGUCAAUUGCUUGAGGAAUAAGGAAAAUGAGCUAACUUUAAGAAAAGACCCAAGAAUAAGUCUGAUUUGUCACUUGGGCCCAAUAUUUUUGUUUGCCUUUUUUAUUAUCAAAUAAUAGGCUAAAGUUAAUUUUCUUUAAUUUUAAUUUUUAUUACAAUUUUUAGUCAAGAAUAAUAUUAGUGGUUGUUGUUUUGCUUACAAAUAUUUAAUAGCCACUAAUUUGGAAUAAUUUCUACCAUUAAGAGUUCAAUUACUAGUAGGAACUCUUGGCAUGCCUUAGGAAGAGUAUAUGUACCUCAAAAAUUGAUGAAUGAAAGUAGAACUUUGAUAUUAAAAAUAUUGGUAAUUUCCAA